UUUUCCUUCAGAGCGCCGUUUUCUCCAUUUCUGCCUCGUUUGAAGACAAAAGACUUGAUGUCAUUGGCAUCAUUUUGAAAAGAGUAUCGAAACUUGCAAAGACGUUCUUAACUGAACGAAGAGACCCGAGUCGCUGAGUAGCAGCCGCCAUAGGACCUGGACGACAAGGAAAGGUCUAAAGCUCUCAAUCAGCAAAUAUCCCGACGGCCGCGUCCUCCUGAGCGCUGCCUAUCUGCGUUUCUCUGCUGAUGGUCCAAUGAGCAGACAUCUGCAGGUGUGGACCUCAGGCGGAGUGACGCAGCGUGACAACGUGUCCCAGCAACUGACUCUCCGAGGCCUCAAAGCAGAUUUAAAUACGCGUGUCCACCAGUGGAACAGCGACACGUUUGUUACUUCAAAGAGUGGGACUAGAAUCCAGCUCCAAGUCGCUACUCAAGACCCGAUAGAAGCAUCCGCAGCGUCUGUGGCCGCCAUCGACUCCCACGCCGCCGUGCUCAACGCCUUUCUGUCAACCGCCACUCAAACGUAGCGACAGGAAGUUACAUCGUCACCCGAGAGGAAGCUGAGGACAAAACAAUAUACAUAUGUAUAUAUAUAUGUAUAUAUGUAUAUAUAUAUAUAUAUAUAUAUAUAUAUAUAUAUAUAU
ensembl:lncRNA